CUACGGGUUGCUGCAGUAAGGAAUAUUGCGCAAUGGAGGCAACUCUGACGCAGCCAUGCCGCGUGCAGGAAGAAGGCCUUAUGGGUCGUAAACUGCUUUUAUUUAGGAAUAAACCCUCGCUCGUGAGCGAGGCUGAAGGUACUGAAUGAAUAAGCACCGGCUAACUCCGUGCCAGCAGCCGCGGUAAUACGGAGGGUGCAAGCGUUAUCCGGAUUUAUUGGGUUUAAAGGGUGCGCAGGCGGGCUAUUAAGUCAGUGGUGAAAUCCCGGGGCUCAACUCCGGAACUGCCAUUGAUACUGAUAGUCUUGAGUUUGGUUGAAGUGGGCGGAAUGUAGCAUGUAGCGGUGAAAUGCAUAGAUAUGCUACAGAACACCAAUCGCGAAGGCAGCUCACUAAGCCAAAACUGACGCUCAUGCACGAAAGCGUGGGGAUCAAACAGGAUUAGAUACCCUCGUAGUC
rnacentral:rRNA from 1 species